rnacentral:rRNA from 1 species
CCCGGGCCUUGUACACACCGCCCGUCACACCACGAAAGUUGAUUCGGCCCGAAGCCGGUGGGCUAACCCGCAAGGGGAGCAGCCGUCGAAGGCCGGGUUGAUGAUUGGGGUG